rnacentral:rRNA from 1 species
AUGGAAGAAUCAACAUGUGAAAUAAAAAAAGUCUCACAUUUUGCUGAACUGGUAAAGAAGACCUCACUUAUACUGUGGGACGAGGCUCCUAUGACAAACAAACACUACUUCGAGGCACUAGACAAAAGCCUUAGGGAUAUUCUAAGGUUCACAAACCAAAAUAGUGACGAAAGGCCAUUUGGCGGCAUCACAGUUGUGCUAGGAGGCGAUUUCAGAAAAAUACUUCCAGUGAUACGAAAGGGAAAGAGAGAGCACAUAGUAAAUGCAUGA